GACGAACGCUGGCGGCGUGCUUAACACAUGCAAGUCGAGCGGUAAGGCCCUUUCGGGGGUACACGAGCGGCGAACGGGUGAGUAACACGUGGGUGACCUGCCCUCAGCUCUGGGAUAAGCCUGGGAAACCGGGUCUAAUACCGGAUAUGACUCCAUGACGCAUGUUGGUGGGGGUAGGAAAGCCUUGUGCGGCUGGAGGAGUCGGGCCCGCGG
rnacentral:rRNA from 1 species